rnacentral:rRNA from 1 species
UACGGAGGGUGCAAACGUUGCUCGGAAUCAUUGGGCGUAAAGCGCACGUAGGCGGCUCGUUAAGUCGGAUGUGAAAGCCCCGGGCUCAACUCGGGAAGUGCAUUCGAAACUGGCGAGCUUGAAUAUGGAAGAGGGUCGCGGAAUUCCCGGUGUAGAGGUGAAAUUCGUAGAUAGUCGGGAGGAACACCAGUGGCGAAGGCGGCGACCUGGGCCAAUAUUGACGCUGAGGUGCGAAAGCGUGGGGAGCAAACAGGG